rnacentral:misc_RNA from 1 species
AUCUUUUUCUUUUUUUUUUUUAAAUAACUGUUAAUUUAGGAAACAGUACAGUGCAAUAUCUGAAUUAAUUUACAUUGAAGCUUUAAGUUAGUUUUUACAGUUACUGGGGUAAACUCCAUGUUUUGCUUCCUUUUAUCAAAAGCUUGGGUAAACAUCAUGUGUCAAUGUUUGUUGAUUAAAAAAUUUGACUAAAACGCGUACCUUGGCUUUUUCUUGGCUCUUUUCCCUAAUAGUCAUUUUAAAAUGCAAGAUUCUCUUCAUUUUUCUUGUCAAAGUCUUGCUUGAUGUUGUCAACUUCUCCAAGAUGUAUUCUUCAUAUAAGUAUUUUUCUUUAAUAGUUUGACUCCAACAGUCACUGUGGUCUUAAAGGGUAGACAACCAUUUUCUUUCUUCUUCCUCUCUCAUUUCUUACCUGCAUUGCCUCAUCAUGCAGGCUAUUAUGAUGUCAAGCAGAAUAUAAGACACAGGACCAGCAGUUAUCAGAUCAAUAAUUUUUCCUGUAAUAGUACUAACAUGCUAAUAUAUUCAUGUAGGACCCAAAGCAUGGAAACUGGUGGCUAGAAUUUGGUUCAGGACUUCUGGUAGGAUAUUGGCCAGCUUUCUUGUUCAGUCAUUUAAGAA